GACGAACGCUGGCGGCGUGCUUAACACAUGCAAGUCGAACGGAAAGGCCCUGCUUGCCGGGUACUCGAGUGGCGAACGGGUGAGUAACACGUGGGUGAUCUGCCCUGCACUUCGGGAUAAGCCUGGGAAACUGGGUCUAAUACCGGAUAGGAGCCAUUUUUAGUGUGAUGGUUGGAAAGUUUUUUCGGUGUAGGAUGAGCUCGCGGCCUAUCAGCUUGUUGGUGGGGUAAUGGCCUACCAAGGCGGCGACGGGUAGCCGGCCUGAGAGGGUGGACGGCCACAUUGGGACUGAGAUACGGCCCAGACUCCUACGGGAGGCAGCAGUGGGGAAUAUUGCACAAUGGGCGCAAGCCGAUGCAGCGACGCCGCGUGGGGGAGGACGGCCUUCGGGUUGUAAACUCCUUUCGCUAGGGACGAAGCUUUUUGUGACGGUACCUAGAGAAGAAGCACCGGCUAACUACGUG
rnacentral:rRNA from 1 species